GUCUCGUUCGUCUAGCGGUCAGGACCCCGGGCUUUCAUCCCGGUGAUCGUGGGUCCGAAUCCCACACGAGGCUCCA
rnacentral:tRNA from 1 species